rnacentral:rRNA from 1 species
AGUGAACGCUGGCGGUAGGCCUAACACAUGCAAGUCGAACGGCCGCACAGUAAGAGCUUGCUCUUACGGGUGGCGAGUGGCGGCCGGGUGAGGGAUACAUCGGAAUCUCCUUUUUCGUGGGGGAUUACGUCAGGUGACUUACGCCACUACCGCAUACGACCUCCGGGUGAAAGCCGGGGAUCUUCGGACCUUGCGCGAGUGAAUGAGCCGAUGACGGAUUAGUUAGUUGGCGGGGUAAAGGCCCACGACGGCGACGAUCCGUAGCGGGUCUGAGAGGAUGAUCAGCUAGAUUGGAAGUGAGACAGGGCACAGACACCGACGGUGAGCAGCAGUGGGGAAUAUUGGGCAAGGGGGGAGAGGCGGAUCCAGCCAAACCGGGUGAGGGAAGAAGGCCUACGGGUGGUAAAGCCAUGUUGUUGGGAAAAAAAAGCAGCCGGUUAAUCCCCCGCGGUUAUGACGGUACCCAAAGAAGAAGCACCGGCUAACUUCGUG